rnacentral:rRNA from 1 species
UGGGGAAUAUUGCACAAUGGGCGCAAGCCUGAUGCAGCCAUGCCGCGUGUAUGAAGAAGGCCUUCGGGUUGUAAAGUACUUUCAGCGGGGAGGAAGGUGUUGUGGUUAAUAACCACAGCAAUUGACGUUACCCGCAGAAGAAGCACCGGCUAACUCCGUGCCAGCAGCCGCGGUAAUACGGAGGGUGCAAGCGUUAAUCGGAAUUACUUGGCGUAAAGCGCACGCAGGCGGUCUGUCAAGUCGGAUGUGAAAUCCCCGGGCUCAACCUGGGAACUGCAUCCGAAACUGGCAGGCUUGAGUCUUGUAGAGGGGGGUAGAAUUCCAGGUGUAGCGGUGAAAUGCGUAGAGAUCUGGAGGAAUACCGGUGGCGAAGGCGGCCCCCUGGACAAAGACUGACGCUCAGGUGCGAAAGCGUGGGGAGCAAACA